AUACGUAGGGGGCGAGCGUUAUCCGGAAUUAUUGGGCGUAAAGAGUACGUAGGUGGUUUUGUAAGCGUGAGGUGAAAGCCCGGGGCUUAACUCCGGCGAGCCUCACGAACUGCAAGACUUGAGUGCAGGAGGGGAAAGUGGAAUUCCUAGUGUAGCGGUGAAAUGCGGAGAUAUUAGGAGGAACACCGGUGGCGAAGGCGACUUUCUGGACUGUAACUGACACUGAGGUACGAAAGCGUGGGGAGCAAACAGGAUUAGAUACCCUGGUAGUCCACGCCGUAAACGAUGAGCACUAGUUGUUGGGACCGAGAGGUUUCGGUGACGCAGUUAACGCAAUAAGUGCUCCGCCUGGGGAGUACGCACGCAAGUGUGAAACUCAAAUGAAUUGACGGGG
rnacentral:rRNA from 1 species